rnacentral:lncRNA from 1 species
CCGGGCCGUCGCCCCCGCCGUCCCCUGCGCCCAGCUGCCCCUCCUAUGGCAGCUCUCACAGCUCCGCGCCGGCGCCGCCACCGAGGUGCGGUGACAGCAGGGAGGACAGAUGGCCGUGUCACCUCUGUCACCUCUGUCACCUCUGUCAUCUCUGUCACCAUCACUGUGUGUCACCUCUGCCACCUCUGUCACCUCUGUCACCAAAACUGUGUCACCUCUGUCACCUCUGUCAGCUCUGUCACCUCUGUCACCAUCACUGUGUGUCAUCUCUGUCACCUCUAUCACCUCUGUCACCAUUGCUGUGUGGCACCUCUGUCAUCUCUGUCACCAUCAUUGUGUGUGAGCUCUGUCACCUUUGUCACCACUGUCGCCAUUGCUGUGUGUCACUUUUGUCACCUGUGUCACCUCUCUGUCACUACUUCCAGCAGUGUCACUGUGUCACCAUUGCUGUAUGUCAUCGUGUGUCACCAUACGUCCCCACAUGUCCCCAUGCGUCCCCAUGUGUCCCCAUAUGUCCCCAUGUGUCCCCACAUGUCACUCUGUGUCCCCACGUGUCCCCAUAUGUCCCCAUGCGUCACCAUAUGUCACUCUGUGUCCCCACAUGUCCCCACGUGUCUCCACGUGUCCCUGUGUGUCUCCACAUGUCCCCACGUGUCCUCAUAUGUCACCAUAUGUCACCCUGUGUGCCCACGUGUCCCCACGUGUCCCCAUAUGUCCCAUGUGUCCCCACGUGACCCCUUUUGUGUCCCCAUGUGUCCCCACAUGUCCCCAUGUGUCCCCAUGUGUGCCCGUAUCUCCCCACAUCUUCCCAUAUGUCCCCACAUGUCCCUGCAUGUCCCCAUGCCACCAUAUGUCACCCUGUGUGCCCACGUGUCCCUAUAUGUCCCCACGUGUCCCCACGUGUCCCCCUGUCCCCCGCUGUCCCCAGGAGGAGCUGCAGUCCCUGCAGGGCACCACGAGCUCCUUCUGUGCGCUGUGUCAGAGCGCGCUGAGCGACGGCGACGGAGCUGUGAGGGAGGAGGUGGGGAGGGGGGGCAGCGGGGGGCNNNN